GAGCCUGCGCGGGGAGAGGGGGGAGCAGCCCUUAAAGGGCCAAGCGGCCCUGGCACGUGCCGGCGGCCAAGCGGCUGCGGCCCCGGCACCGCCGGCCUCGAAGAGCGGCCGGGGGGAGACGUGAGACCCCGGGCCUUGGGGCCCGCCGAGCCGAGCCGUCGGGUGGAAGGCCCGUAACCGGGCGGGGAGCGCCUCCCGGGAGGCGGCUGCACGCUACGAGCAGGGCUGCCCUGCGGGAAGAGGACGAGGGCUCAGCAGCGCCUUAUCCAAUCGCUUUGCCACCGGCUUAGCGUUGCAGAUGAUGGCACCAGGCGUGUGGUCCCAAGGCAGAAGAAUGCAUAUGAACAAUGGAAGAAAAUUUGAUUUAUGAACAUUGAAUACUGAUUACUCUCACAAGCCAAGGACACAAUUUCUGUACUGUGAGUGUAAUGGAACUAUAUUACUGCGAUCCAGAACACCUUCAUCAUGGCCAACCUGCUGCUCCCGCCUCAACAAGGGUUCGUGCUCAUCAGGGCUUGAAUUAAUAUUCAGUCGACUAUCCUCUCCACUGAACUGGUUCUGAAGCAUGUCCUGUGCCCUCUGUGCUACUGAACUGGCUGUCUGGCCAGAUGGCACUGCCCCAUUGGCAUACUGGAUUGUGCCAGCAUGAGAGUUUAUGCUGUGGCUUCUACCAGCCACUCCAUUCAUGGUAACUGUCACCACAUGAGGUUCUGCGGCAUUGAUAGUGUUCAUCUUGGCAACGCCUGUUUCCACUUGCUUCAAGUUUGAUUUGUGCUUGCCACCAAAUUUUAACCGUGGCUCCUUCGUUGAAUUUUUGGUGUUUAGAGGAAGGCUAGUAGGCCUCUUCGGAAGGUUCUGUUGCUUGGGGAGAGGAUAGACCUGAGCAGAUGGGACAUCCGGAAUCAAACAUGCUUGACCAUUGCCAGCUUGUGCGAAGUCCUGUUGUCCUGUCACCUCUACUGCAAGUUUUAUCAGUGGAUAAAGCAAGCUGGAACUAGUGCUGCUGAGUGGAUCUGGCCCGCUAAACUGCUUAAGUGAAUGUUCCAUCAGAUUCUCAUCAGAGCUUUCUUUCAGGUUCUUAUCUACUUCUUUUGGAUCCAGUUUAUUUGUCUCCAAGUCCUCCUCUGUUAACUGCAGACAAACUGGAGUGGGCCCACCUGGCUGCAUGACAUUUGCAGUAUGUAAGUUGGUUUCAUCUGAAUAAGGCAUUUCAGAUAUGGUGGUCAUGCCAGUGCUAGGAGUGAGGCCAGUUGUAUUGGUGGUGGUAGUAUUGGUGGACAAACUGGUGACACUUGUCUCAGGACUAGGGAUGCGAGCUUGUGCUUGUUGCCGCUCAUAGUUAAUGGAGUUUCUGUUCUUUUCCCCUGACGUCAGUGGUGUUGUGGACAUUGAAUGUUCAGACGAAAUGUUCUUCACUAUGCUGUCAGUGUGGUGGAUUGAAUCUUCAAUGUAGGAGGAAGAAGAAUAAUCAGGAUAUGGCCUUAUCUUUGACACACGUCUAUGAUGUGACAGAUUCCUUUAAGAAAAAAUAAGCGAUAUUAGGGUCAUGUAUGUAAAUAUCACCUCAUGUUAUAAAGCCGCUCAUUUAAGAGAGAUGAAUGUCUUUAUUUCUUUUCAUGCAUCAACUAAAGACAGAUACAGUAACAACUGAGAUCCUUCUGUAACUUCCUUGAAAAGUCCUGGAUAGCAGAAAGUGGUUUUACUUGGACAACAGUUUUGUCACAAAUGUUAUUAUAUGAAUGGAGAACUGGCAACAGACACACUUUCCUGGGAUCACACUGUGGGAUGAAUGGUACAGUCAGGAUUAGAGCUCAAGACCUCCAAAUCAUCUGCCAUAUGGUCAGAGACCUGGAAAGGAGACAACUGAAAUUACGAGUUCUGAACAUUUGUACUUCUACUGCAUCCUGAGCACAGCAAGACAGACAUUUAUGGGCCCCUGCUGCCAGUUAAGGCCCAUGAAUAGAAUAUAAUUUGCCAGAAUGUCUCACAUCUCAGCCCAGCUUUAACUUCUCCAGCACUACUGACAGUGCGUAGUCCCAGCUGGGCACUAAAGCAUUCACUGGGCCCUGCUGAUUGUUUCUGUGCCAGAACUGCCGUGUUCACUCCUGGCAGUGAAAGACAAGAGUAGCUCUGCCUGCUAGCGAAGAGCUCCUCGCCCACAGAGCAGGCUCCUGGCAUCACUCGCAUCUGGCAAGUCACUGCUGCUCAGUGAUGCAGCUAUGGCUACACAGGCAGGGAUGAGCCACCACACAAGUAAAUCACCUCCCUUUCCACAGUCGAUUGAAGAAGGGCUAAGCAACCAAAAUACUCCUAGCUGAGGGACAUGAAUCUAAAAGCACCCUCAGGGACAAUGAGGAGAUACUGUACUGGGCUGUUUUCUUUCCAUGCUUCUGGGAAUUUUGGUCUUUGCUUCUCCCUGGACACUAAGACUUGCAUAUCUUCAAAAGUGGGAUGGUUUCCGACUUCUGUCUGGAAAGCCAUCUGGUACUCUGGCACAGACU